rnacentral:rRNA from 1 species
AGAGUUUGAUCAUGGCUCAGAUUGAACGCUGGCGGCAGGCCUAACACAUGCAAGUCGAACGGUAACAGGACUAGCUUGCUAGUUGCUGACGAGUGGCGGACGGGUGAGUAACGCGUAGGAAUCUACCCAGUAGCGGGGGAUAAGCCAGAGAAAUUUGGUCUAAUACCGCAUACGCCCUACGGGGGAAAGCAGGGGAUCUUCGGACCUUGCACUAUUGGAUGAGCCUGCGUGAGAUUAGCUAGUUGGUGAGGUAAAGGCUCACCAAGGCGACGAUCUCUAGCUGGUCUGAGAGGAUGAUCAGCCACACUGGAACUGAGACACGGUCCAGACUCCUACGGGAGGCAGCAGUGGGGAAUAUUGCACAAUGGGCGCAAGCCUGAUGCAGCCAUGCCGCGUGUGUGAAGAAGGCCUUAGGGUUGUAAAGCACUUUCAGUCGUGAGGAAAGGUGCGUAGUUAAUACCUGCGUACUGUGACGUUAGCGACAGAAGAAGCACCGGCUAACUCCGUGCCAGCAGCCGCGGUAAUACGGAGGGUGCGAGCGUUAAUCGGAAUUACUGGGCGUAAAGCGCGCGUAGGUGGAUAGGUCAGUCAGAUGUGAAAUCCCAGGGCUCAACCUUGGAACUGCAUCUGAUACUGCUAAUCUAGAAUACGGUAGAGGGUAGUGGAAUUUCCUGUGUAGCGGUGAAAUGCGUAGAUAUAGGAAGGAACACCAGUGGGAGUACGGCCGCAAGGUUAAAACUCAAAUGAAUUGACGGGGGCCCGCACAAGCGGUGGAGCAUGUGGUUUAAUUCGAAGCAACGCGAAGAACCUUACCAACUCUUGACAUCCUGCGAACUUGCUAGAGAUAGCUUGGUGCCUUCGGGAACGCAGAGACAGGUGCUGCAUGGCUGUCGUCAGCUCGUGUUGUGAAAUGUUGGGUUAAGUCCCGUAACGAGCGCAACCCUUGUCCUUAUUUACCAGCACUUCGGGUGGGAACUCUAAGGAGACUGCCGGUGACAAACCGGAGGAAGGUGGGGACGACGUCAAGUCAUCAUGGCCCUUACGAGUUGGGCUACACACGUGCUACAACCUUCGGGAGGGCGGUUACCACGGUGUGGUUCAUGACUGGGGUGAAGUCGUAACAAGGUAGCCCUAGGGGAACCUGGGGCUGGAUCACCUCCU